rnacentral:tRNA from 1 species
GCUGGUAUAGCUCAGGAGGCAGAGCGCAUCCUUGGUAAGGAUGAGGUCGGCAGUUCGAGCCUGCCUAUCAGCUCCA